rnacentral:rRNA from 1 species
AGCUGAUAAUGGAUGCCUAGGGCAUGUUUGCCGAGGAAGGACGCAUAUGGUAGCGAUAUUCGUCGGGGAGGAGCCAUACUCCGUAUGAUCCGGCGGUUUCCGAAUGGAGAAAUCCCUUUAUCCUAAAGAUAAAGACUGUAUUAUAAAUACGGUUCGCACCAUGAUUAUAAAAUUUAUAACUGUUAUAAAAAUUAUAAUUAGGGUGCGGACUGGAAUAGUAAUACAGAGGGCACCACCUGAACUGAAACAUCUCAGUAGGGUGAGGAAAAUAAAUCAAUUGAGAUUCCGCAAGUAGCGGCGAGCGAAAACGGAAAAGUCUAAACUUGGUGAACUUAUGAUAAAAGAACGCCUUGGAAUAGGCGGCCAAAGAACGUGAAAGCCGUGUAUUUGAAAUUAUAGUUCCCCCUAAGGAGUUCCUAAGUACCAUGGGACACGAAGGUCCUGUGGGAAUCCGGGUCCACCACGAUCCAAGACUAAAUACAACCAUGCACCGAUAGUGAACGAGUACCGUGAGGGAAAGGUGAAAAGCACCCCGGAAGGGGAAUGAAAUAGUACCUGAAAUUAUCAGCUAACAAACAGCGAGAGCUUGUGAGUAAUCGCGUGCCUAUUGAAGAAUGAACCGGUGAGUUACCGUGCAAAGCAAGCCUAAUCACGUUUCAACGUGUGGAGGCGCAGUGAAAGCGAGGCCUAAUCGGCCGACAUAGUUUUGAACGGUAGACCCGAAACCAGGUGAGCUAACCAUGAGCAGGGUGAACCCCGAUGAAAAUCGGGGGAAGGCCCGAACUCGUCAAUGUUGCAAAAUUGUGAGAUGACUUGUGGUUAGGGGUAAUAUGCCUAUCGAACCUGGAGAUAGCUGGUUCUCCCCGAAAUAUAUUUUGGUAUAGCGGUGAGUCAUGCGGCGAAGGGGUAGAGCACUGAAUGAUUUGCGUUUCCUUACGGGAAUUCUUAUCAAUCAAACUCCGAAUACUUUCGUCGUUAUCUCACUAGUCAGACGUGCGGGGCUAAGCUCGUGCGUCAAAAGGGAAACAACCCAGACUCUCAUCUAAGGUCUCUAAACAAUACUCAGUGGUUAAGGAAGUCGUGAUUUUAAGACACCCAGGAAGUUGGCUCAGAAGCAGCCAUCUUUUAAAGAACGCGUAACAGCGCACUGGAUGAAAGUCGCGGCGCCGAAAAUGAACGAGGCUCAAGUAUUGUACCGAAGAUAGAGGGGGGUACCGUCCGGUACCCCCGGUAGGGGAGCGUUCUUAUUGCGGUGAAGGUCACCUCGUAAGGGGGGCUGGAGCGAUAAGAAGUGAGAAUGCCGGUAUGAGUAGCGUUUGGAAGUGAGAAUCUUCCAUGCCGAAUGCGCAAGGUUUCCGAAGCAACGUUCGUCGACUUCGGGUUAGUCGGAUCUAAGGCGAGGCCGUCAAUUGGCGGCGUAGCUCGAUGUAUAAACGGUUUAUAUUCCGUUACUAUAAUGUGUCGAUUAAGACUCAAAGGGGUGACAAUGGAGGAUUUGUCUGUGCCCCGCAACCGCGGGGUCUAAGCGUCAAGACAGUGAAGAUUGGGAAAUCCGUUUUCAUGUUUAAUCGAGGCGUAGGGAAGUCCAAGGGGAAACCUGCGGGCAAUACAGAUCGUUUUCUAUUCGAGAAAAGUCUCGUUGAGGAGCACAUGAUAUCCGUACCGCAAACCGACACUGGUGCGCUGGUAGAGAAUACUAAGGCAAGCGGGCGACAGCAGUUUAAGGAACUCGGCAACAAAAACUAGGCGUAACCUUUGGGAGAUGCCUUGCCCCGACGUAACGUCGGGGUCUCAGUAAACGACACUAUGCAACUGUUUAACUAAAACACAGGUCUCUGCGAAGCCGAAAGGCAACGUAUAGGGGCUGACACCUGCCCAGUGCCGGUAAGUUAAAAAUGGUUGGUGACCUUCGAAAGUUGGAAGCUAGCUUUUUAAGCUCCGGUGAACGGCAGCAGUAACUAUAACUGU